rnacentral:lncRNA from 1 species
UUGAAUUAAAAUUUUUGAUAUGAUUAAAUUUUAUUUUAAUUUAAUAUUUUUUAUAAUUUUUUAAUCUGAUUUUAAUCAGAUUAUCAAAUCAAAGUCUGCCCCUGAAUCCGAUCUAUUAAAAAUCUGUUUUAGCAGAAUUUUCUCUAUAAAUUCUUAUUCUGAUUUAAAAUCUGAUAAUGCAUGGAUUUAAAUCUAUUUUUGAUAGAUUUUU